CAGCCGCCACGGGAAUACGUAGGUGGCAAGCGUUGUCCGGAAUUAUUGGGCGUAAAGGGCUCGCAGGCGGUUUCUUAAGUCUGAUGUGAAAGCCCCCGGCUCAACCGGGGAGGGUCAUUGGAAACUGGGAAACUUGAGUGCAGAAGAGGAGAGUGGAAUUCCACGUGUAGCGGUGGAAUGCGUAGAGAUGUGGAGGAACACCAGUGGCGAAGGCGACUCUCUGGUCUGUAACUGACGCUGAGGAGCGAAAGCGUGGGGAGCGAACAGGAUUAGAUACCCGGGUAGUCCCUGUCUCUUAUAC
rnacentral:rRNA from 1 species